AACGAACGCUGGCGGCGUGCCUAACACAUGCAAGUCGAACGGGAAAACCCGCAAGGGUGAGUACAGUGGCGCACGGGUGCGUAACACGUGGGUAAUCUGCCCUGAAGCCCGGAAUAACUCCCCGAAAGGGGUGCUAAUGCCGGAUGAGACCACGGGGACUUCGGUCCCUGGGGGAAAAGGUGGCCUCUGUAUACAAGCUAUCACUUCAGGAUGAGCCCGCGGCCCAUUAGCUAGUUGGCGGGGUAAUGGCCCACCAAGGCUACGACGGGUAGCUGGUCUGAGAGGACGAUCAGCCACACUGGAACUGAGACACGGUCCAGACUCCUACGGGAGGCAGCAGUGGGGAAUCUUGCGCAAUGGGCGAAAGCCUGACGCAGCAACGCCGCGUGUGUGAUGAAGGUCUUCGGAUCGUAAAGCACUGUCGGGAGGGACGAAUAAGGGCCGGGUGAACAAUCCGGUCUGACGACGGUACCUCCAGAGGAAGCACCGGCUAACUCUGUGCCAGCCGCCGCGGUAAGAC
rnacentral:rRNA from 1 species